rnacentral:rRNA from 1 species
CCUACGGGGUGCUGCAGUGAGGAAUAUUGGUCAAUGGACGAGAGUCUGAACCAGCCAAGUAGCGUGAAGGAUGACUGCCCUAUGGGUUGUAAACUUCUUUUAUAUGGGAAUAAUAUGUUCCACGUGUGGGAUUUUGUAUGUACCAUAUGAAUAAGGAUCGGCUAACUCCGUGCCAGCAGCCGCGGUAAUACGGAGGAUCCGAGCGUUAUCCGGAUUUAUUGGGUUUAAAGGGAGCGUAGGUGGAUUGUUAAGUCAGUUGUGAAAGUUUGCGGCUCAACCGUAAAAUUGCAGUUGAAACUGGCAGUCUUGAGUACAGUAGAGGUGGGCGGAAUUCGUGGUGUAGCGGUGAAAUGCUUAGAUAUCACGAAGAACUCCGAUUGCGAAGGCAGUUCACUGGACUGCAACUGACACUGAGGCUCGAAAGUGUGGGUAUCAAACAGGAUUAGAUACCCUUGUAGUC